GAGGAMAAGUCUGGUGCCAGCAGCCGCGGUAAUACCAGCACCAAUAGCGUAUAUUAAAGUUGUUGCAGUUAAAAAGCUCGUAGUUGGACUUGUUCUGGGCGGCGAUCAGCGUGGUUGAGUCAAAAGGCUUGAAUCAAGGCGAUCUCGCCCGGGAAGAAUCUUUUACAGGGUGCGCCGUCUGGGCUUGAUUGUCUGCGACGGUGCAAUUUUGGCCUUGUAGAUCAUUUACUGUGAGAAAAUUAGAGUGUUCAAGGCAGGCUUGAUGCNAAUUGAAUAUGUUAGCAUGGAAUAAUAAGAURCGGCUCGAUUUUGUUGGUUUCCCGAAUUGGUGAGUAAGGAUUGAGAGGGACGGUCGGUG
rnacentral:rRNA from 1 species